rnacentral:rRNA from 1 species
AACGAACGCUGGCGGCAGGCUUAACACAUGCAAGUCGAGCGAGACCUUCGGGUCUAGCGGCGGACGGGUGGGUAACGCGUGGGAACGUGCCCUUCUCUACGGAAUAGCCCCGGGAAACUGGGUGUAAUACCGUAUACGCCCUUUGGGGGAAAGAUUUAUCGGAGAAGGAUCGGCCCGCGUUGGAUUAGGUGUUUGGUGGGGGAAGGGCCCAUCAAGCCGACGAGCCAUAGCUGGUUUGGGAGGAUGACCAGCCCCACUGGGGAGAAAACACGGCCACUACUCCGGGGGGAGGCAGGGGGGGGGAAUCUGAAACAGGGGGAGGAACGAGGCAGCAACCCCGCCGGGAGGGAGAAGGACGCCGGGGGAUGAAAAACCUUUUUCGGCGGAGAAAAAAUGACGGGAACUAAGAAAAAAGCCCCGGCUAACUCCGUU